rnacentral:rRNA from 1 species
UACGUAGGGUCCGAGCGUUGUCCGGAAUUAUUUGGGGCGUAAAGGGCUCGUAGGCGGUUUGUCGCGUCGGGGAGUGAAAACCAGAGGCUUAACUUCUGGCUUGCUUUCGAUACGGGCAGACUUGAGGCAUGCAGGGGGAGAACGGAAUUCCUGGUGUAGCGGUGAAAUGCGCAGAUAUCAGGAGGAACACCGGUGGCGAAGGCGGUUCUCUGGGGCAUGUUCUGACGUGAGGAGCGAAAGUGUGGGGGAGCGAACAGG